rnacentral:rRNA from 1 species
UACGGAGGGUGCAAGCGUUAAUCGGAAUUACUGGGCGUAAAGCGCACGCAGGCGGUUUGUUAAGUCAGAUGUGAAAUCCCCGGGCUCAACCUGGGAACUGCAUCUGAUACUGGCAAGCUUGAGUCUCGUAGAGGGGGGUAGAAUUCCAGGUGUAGCGGUGAAAUGCGUAGAGAUCUGGAAGAAUACCGGUGGCGAAGGCGGCCCCCUGGACGGGGACUGACGCUGAGGUGCGAAAGCGUGGGGAGCAAACAGG